rnacentral:rRNA from 1 species
UUUAGUGGGGAAUAACUGUUGGAAACGACAGCUAAUACCGCAUAAUAUUGCUGGAUAAUUUCCAGUAAUGAAAGGAGCUUUCAAGCUCCGCUGAUUGAUGAGGAUGCGGCGCAUUAGCUAGUUGGUAGGGUAAUGGCCUACCAAGGCAAUGAUGCGUAGCCGAUCUGAGAGGAUGAACGGCCACAUUGGGACUGAGACACGGCCCAAACUUCUACGGAAGGCAGCAGUAGGGAAUUUUUCACAAUGGGCGAAAGCCUGAUGGAGCAAUGCCGCGUGACUGAUGAAGGUCUUCGGAUUGUAAAGGUCUGUUGUAAGGGAAGAAAUGGUAAAACAGGAAAUGGUUUUAUCUAUGACGGUACCUUACCAGAAAGCCACGGCUAACUAUGUGCCAGCAGCCGCGGUAAUACAUAGGUGGCAAGCGUUAUCCGGAUUUAUUGGGCGUAAAGGGUGCGUAGACGGUUUUGCAAGUCUGANGUUAAAUUUAGGAGCUCAACUCCUAAUCGCCUUGGAAACUACNAGACUAGAGUAUAGGAGAGGUUAGUGGAAUUCCAUGUGUAGCGNUGGAAUGUG